CCAUUGCUCAGUUGGUAGAGCACAAGGCUCUUAACCUUGUGGACGUGGGUUCAAUCCCCAUGGUGGG
rnacentral:tRNA from 1 species